CCUUGUAACUGCCAUCUCUCCCGAAUGGAUGCCUCUUCAUCGCAUCCCUUCUCCUUGUAUAAAUGCUUACAAUCAUCUAAUGAAAGAGAGAGAGGAUUCACUUUUCUUUUAACACGUUACCAGCACGCUCCCGAGAGCGAUUUGGUCUGAGAGAAAAAGGGACGGCGCGACCGCUCCCCGGCCAUGGCCUCUCCUGCAGAGGUCAUGAUAGCGGCCACCGGCCGGCGUCGCCUCCCUCCGGCCGUUGUUGUGGGUCACCUUUCCCCGCGCGGCGCUCGCGCCCGGAAUAGCCAGGCUACGCCCGCCCGCGUCGAGGCCUCGCCCUCGCACACUGCGCCACACCCCGCGCCAGGCUAUGGCCACGCGUCGCCUGCGCC
rnacentral:rRNA from 1 species